UCUAUGGCAAAACCCAGCCUUCUCAUGAAAUGAGUCGCCAGAACAACGCAUGCAGUGAGUACAGACAGCAGAGAGAAUGCGUGUGUCUUCAGCAAGAAAUAUCGCAGCACAAACAGAAAGAUCACAGGAGUCACUGCACAACUACAGAAUCUGAUCGUCGAGACCUCAUAGAAAAUCUUACAGCUAUUGUAAGUGAAGUACACAAUACAGAGCAAAGGAUCAACUGUUGUAGACGACUGCAAAGAGAGAAAGCAGAAUCGUGUCAAGAUGUUGACUGAUGAGGUCGCACAGGUGCAGGAGGUGAGAUACUGUCUGAAGACUCUGAGAGAGCAAAUGGCAGCCAGACAAAACAAUAAUAACAAUAAUAAGAUUCCAUCCAAUGGCUUUAAAGUUGACGUUCUUGUCAGCAAAGCCAAUGGCUCCAAUGGAUUGGUGAAUGGCUCUUUCACUAAAUGUCCGGUAAACUAUUUGUCAUAUAAAGAUUAUUCACUUGCGCCAUUAUAAAUACACACAUGAAUAGCAAGAAUGUAUAGGCUACUCACAAACACAAACAAACAGAGACACUCCCAUAGAAAGAGAGCGAAAGCAUUCAGUCCACUUGCUGUAUCACAUUUCAGUGGUUUUGGACAGAAUUGAAUGCCGUAUUGUGAGUAAAAAUAGCCCCUUUCCUCCAUUAAGGGUAUUAAUCAUUCAAUCUCAAAAACUUUUCGAACUAAAAUGAAUAACUUCUCUGUUUGAAAAUGGGAAGUCCUGUUCUCCUGUACAGACUCCCAAAUAAUAAAGAUAAUGGACAGUAGCAGAUACAGUUCAGACUCUUUAAUGAAAAUACGAUGACGUUCAUAGAUAAAUAAUUUGGCCAAAAAACAUUACCACAGUUUUGUUCAUUCUUGUUUCCGUGGUAAUGUGCUGAGAUUUGGGAGCGUACGCACAUUAACCUUUUGCUUCUGCCUGUGAAAAGUCACACCCAUGACAUGAUGCCCUUGGGAGCAGCAAUUGCCAAACUUGUGGCUGCUCAGUAAACAACCCGUCAUUAUGCCUUCAACUACACACCUACAGCGCCUCCCAUGCACACACAGUUUAUUUUUACUUAUUUAAUAAUAAUAAUUUUAUAUUUAUAUAUUAUAAGUCUAUGUUUUAUACCUCCCAUGUUUAUACCACAUCAUUUUGCUUCUUUUUAAAUGCUUUUUAAUAGAUUACAUUUUAUUUUACCCUUGUCCCAGAUUCAGAUUUGAAAAUAUGAAGAUCUAUCAUGAAAAUAUUUUUAUAAAUCGAUUACAUUCUUUAAAUAAAUGUUCUUUUCAAAAAUGUACCAAUUAUAUAAGAAUUUAUGAAAUAUACUGAAUAAAUAUAACUACACAUCUACAGCACCUCCCAUU